rnacentral:snRNA from 1 species
GGAUGUGAGGGCGAUCUGGCUGCGACAUCUGUCACCCCAUUGAUCGCCAGGGUUGAUUCAGCUGAUCUGGCUGGCCUGGCAGGUGUCCUCUUCCUCCCUACCGCUCCAUGUAUGUCCCUCCGGAGAAGCUGCGCGCUCGGUCGAAGAGGACGACCAUCCCUGAUAGAGGAGGACUGUUCUGCGGUCAAGGGUAUACCAGUAGCUGCACUCCCCUGCUAGAACCUCCCAAAAAAAUUCCAUCUAGAUAUGCCUCCAUAUGUAAUUGCCCUCAAGCAUCUGAAUGGCUAACUCCUCUACCUCUCUGUUGGU